AUGGGAUUCUUUGUAGAAUCUUGGAAGACCGUGGAGCAGACAGACAUGAUGAAGCUUAACUGACUUCAGGUAACUCGGGCUGAGUCACCUCCUACUCUCUGACCACCAUAAGAACCAAGUGUCUGGAGGCCUCUGCAAACAUACAUGCCUUGCUCUGAAUCUGCGACUGGUUCCACCAAGUCAGGUGGUUUCCUUAUACAUGUUUGUACUGGUUAGUUUUAUGCCAUCUUGAUUCAAGCUCUAGUCAGCCAAGAGGAGGAAGCGUCGACUGAGAAAUUGCCCCCAUCAAAUCCAGCUGCAGGCGAGCAGGAAAGGAGUUCGCUGGUUACUUCUCCUCACUAACAACUCGCAGACACAGCUUUUCCUCUCCCUGACUUUGAGGAAGACAUUUUCCUACUGUUGACCCAGGCAACUUGUAUUUCCUUAGGAACUUAAUCCUGCCAGUUCCUGCCCCUUCAUUAAUAGAGUCUACCACCCCAGGAAAA